rnacentral:tRNA from 1 species
GCCAAAGUGGCGAAACUGGUAGACGCGCACGACUCAAAAUCGUGUUCCUUCGGGAGUGUGGGUUCGAUUCCCACCUUUGGUACAA